GUGGGGAAUAUUGGACAAUGGGCGAAAGCCUGAUCCAGCCAUGCCGCGUGUGUGAAGAAGGUCUUCGGAUUGUAAAGCACUUUAAGUUGGGAGGAAGGGCAGUAAGUUAAUACCUUGCUGUUUUGACGUUACCGACAGAAUAAGCACCGGCUAACUUCGUGCCAGCAGCCGCGGUAAUACGAAGGGUGCAAGCGUUAAUCGGAAUUACUGGGCGUAAAGCGCGCGUAGGUGGUUUUGUAAGUUGGAGGUGAAAUCCCCGGGCUCAACCUGGGAACUGCCUCCAAAACUGCAUGACUAGAGUACGGUAGAGGGGAGUGGAAUUUCCUGUGUAGCGGUGAAAUGCGUAGAUAUAGGAAGGAACACCAGUGGCGAAGGCGACUACCUGGACUGAUACUGACACUGAGGUGCGAAAGCGUGGGGAGCAAACAGGAUUAGAUACCCGAGUAGUCC
rnacentral:rRNA from 1 species